rnacentral:rRNA from 1 species
CCUACGGGAGGCAGCAGUAGGGAAUCUUCCACAAUGGGCGAAAGCCAGAUGGAGCAACGCCGCGUGGGUGAAGAAGGUCUUCGGAUCGUAAAACCCUGUUGUUAGAGAAGAAAGUGCGUGAGAGUAACUGUUCACGUUUCGACGGUAUCUAACCAGAAAGCCACGGCUAACUACGUGCCAGCAGCCGCGGUAAUACGUAGGUGGCAAGCGUUAUCCGGAUUUAUUGGGCGUAAAGGGAACGCAGGCGGUCUUUCAAGUCUGAUGUGAAAGCCUUCGGCUUAACCGGAGUAGUGCAUUGGAAACUGGGAGACUUGAGUGUAGAAGAGGAGAGUGGAACUCCAUGUGUAGCGGUAAAAUGCGUAGAUAUAUGGAAGAACACCAGUGGCGAAAGCGGCUCUCUGGUCUGUAACUGACGCUGAGGUUCGAAAGCGUGGGUAGCAAACAGGAUUAGAUACCCGAGUAGUC